AUCUAUGGCCAUGCUACCCUUAACAAGCCCAAUGCCGUCUGAUUUUGGAAACUAAGCAGGGUUGGGCCUGGUUAGUACUUGGAUGGGAGACCACCUAGGAAGAUCAGGUGCUAUGGGCA
rnacentral:rRNA from 1 species